rnacentral:rRNA from 1 species
GUGAGGAAUAUUGCACAAUGGGCGAAAGCUUGAUGCAGCAACGCCGCGUGGGCGAUGAAGGUCUUCGGAUCGUAAAGCCCUUUUCCAGGGGAAGAGGAAGGACGGUACCCUGGGAAUAAGUCUCGGCUAACUACGUGCCAGCAGCCGCGGUAAAACGUAGGAGGCGAGCGUUAUCCGGAUUUAUUGGGCGUAAUGCGCGUGCAGGCGGUGCUCUAAGUUGGACGUAAAAUCUCCUGGCCUAACUGGGAGGGGUCGUUCAAUACUGGAGCACUUGAGGGCAGUAGAGGGAAGCGGAAUUCCCGGUGUAGCGGUGGAAUGCGUAGAUAUCGGGAGGAACACCCGUGGCGAAAGCGGCUUCCUGGGAUGCCCCUGACGCUGAGACGCGAAAGCCAAGGGAGCGAACGGGAUUAGAUACCCCUGUAGUCC